rnacentral:rRNA from 1 species
CGGGUGAGUAAUGCAUAGGUAACGUGCCCCUUAGUCUGGGAUAGCCACUGGAAACGGUGAUUAAUACUAGAUACGCCUUCUCUCUUAAUGAGAGUCGGGAAAGUUUUUCGCUAAGGGAUCGGCCUAUGUUGUAUCAGGUAGUUGGUGAGGUAAUGGCUCACCAAGCCUAUGACACAUAGCGGGUCUGAGAGGAUGAUCCGCCACACUGGUACUGAGACACGGACCAG